AGUCCCGUUUUAUGAUUAGAUGUCGCAGAGCAACAAGGAAGAAAUACUUCAGAAACUGCAUGAGUCCGAGAAGCAGGCCACCAUCCAACUUGUCCACGACCAGAACAAGAUAAAAGCAAUUGCCACUUCCUUAGAUAAAGACGCCAAGGUUUCCUGGUGGGAAAGUUUGUUUGGUUACAGCCCAAAGGCGACCUCCUUCUUCAAUCUAUUGAUCCAUCCUGUGAUAAUCCUUCUGGUUCUGGUCUUUAUUAUGUACAUGGGAUUGUGUCUGAUAUAUCGGAGAGUCAAGAGACUUGCAGAAAAAUUAAAUCGGAAUCAGACAGAAUUCCACAAAGCCACCCGUAGGAGACUCAGUACUUAAAUCAAGAACUUUAUAAACUUGUUCCUUUAUCGAGAGACUCCAGGCAAAGCUACCCUAAAUUCCCAAUUCUUGGAAAUGUAUAUAUAUUUCUCUAUGAGGUUUCUGGAUGCGGAUCUUUUGUUAUCCUGAAGCCCCAUGGUAUGGUGUUUAUAUAUUAUUGUUUUUUUUUGUUUGUUUUUUUUGAGAGGGGUGGGUGUUGGGUGUGUAAUUAUGGGAUUGUGAGUGUGAAUGGGGACUAGAACAGGGUUUAUUAGGGACAGGUCCCCUCCUAAACCAAGUGUAUUUGCCAAUCUCGCCCCAGGAGCAGUCAAGUUUGAACUGAAUGUCAGAUGAGUGCGGUGUUCUUUCCCGCAGUUAGAAUUUAGGUACCCUGGUAUCACCUCUGACUCCAAGUCUGAUCUGCCUUGUAAAGACCUAUCUAUCCGUCCAUGGGAGAACCCCCUCUGCAAUCAAGAUAAAGAGAAACAUGUCUGAUGGGAGUCUUGCCUACGAAAGUCCGGUUCUAACAGAGAACAGAAAGGCCAGUGUGCGAGACUACUCCAGGUUCAUUGGGGGUGGCCGACUCCUGAAGAUUGUAAAAAAAAAAAAAAAAAAACCAGUCCAAGAUUGUAACCUGGAUUGGCCUAAAAACUAUGAGGGUGAAGCCAUUCCAGAAAGUAUGGCCCCUAAAAGACGAUAGCGUGAGCAGCUGAAACCUCAAAGACCACCAUAGACUGCAGCUGGUUACAGAAAGAAAGGCCAGUCUACGGAAAUUGACUCAAAGACUGUGAAAGAAAGACCAAGAUGCAGAGAGAAGAAGACGGGAUACUCUGAGGAUGGAGACUAAGGUUACGGUGAACGGCAAGUCAGAGAUAGUCGCAGUGGGUGAUGUCUAGGUACCUAAGGACCAUAGUAUACUUCAGUCCUUCCUGAACUGUCACCAAGAGUGGGGUAGAGAGGGGCAAAUACAUAUCCAUCCUUCCCGCCAAAGUUAAUUGUCGUAUUCCCGACAACAGGGGGAUUGUAAGGGAAGGAUGGGACCCAUCCCCCCCCAACCCCUCCCUGCCUCCCAGCAGGGAGGGAAAGCCAGGCAAGGUCUGGCCGGAGGAUCUGCUUUGAUCCUCCUAUCACCAUGCCGGCCCACAUGUUAGAGUAGUGUGUGUGUCGGAGGAGGGGCGUGUGUGCAUGCUGCUGGGCAGGACUGAGCAGGGUUUAAAAGGCCUGGCGCAGCUGCACUCGGUCUCUUCUUCUUGUGUGCAUCGCCCGGAGAACAUCACCCCCCUGGACAACGAGCAUUUAAACCUGGCUGAGUAUAUCAACCCCUACUAUCCCACCAACGAAUCCCAUUAACCCCUACUGCUCAAACCCCUACUAUCCCACCAACGAAUCCCAUUAACAAACCUCUACUAUCCCACCAACGAUCCCACUCAUACCCCUAUUAUCCCACCAACGAAAACCCUUACUGAUAUCACCAAUUCCCUAUCCCCUGUACCCCAAUUCCCUUUUGUUGGUUUAGGGAAAGUUUAGCACCAGGAAGGGCGGGCAAUUAUAACGUGUGUGAUUGUGUAUGUGUAGUUAGAUUGUGGGUGAAUUUUGGGGAUUGUUAGUGUAAAGGAGGAUUGUUUUAUUUAGUUGUUUUAUGUUGUGUAAUUUGUAUAUCUGCAUUAGAGGUAGUUGCUGUUUCUAUUGUUGAGUGUCGUAUUAAAUAUAUAUUGUGUUAUUUGUAA